CCUACACACACAGCAUCCCUCCCUCCCACACAGCAGCCCCCUAAACACAGCACUCCUGCACCCCACACAGCACUCCUACCCCCCACACACAGCCCCUCCCUCCACACAGCACCCCUCCCCCUGACACAUAUCACCCACACACACACAGCACUCCAACCCACACACAGCACUCCUCCCAACACACACAGCACCCCUCCCCAACACAGCACCCUUCCCCCCACACACACAGCACUCCCCCCAAACACACAUCACUCCUUCCCAAACACAGCACCCCUCCCCCCACACACAACACCACUCCCUCCCCCACACACAGCACCUCUACCCCACACACAGCACUCCUCCCCCACAUAGCACCUCUCCCACUCACACACAGCAACCCACCACACACAGCAACCCACCACACACAGCACUUUUCUCACACAGCAACCCUCACUCACAGCACUCCACACACUCCACAUCCUUACACACAAACACGUACACUUCACACCUCAAUGCAGUAUGUUUGUGUGUGUGUGUAUUCAGCAAUUACGUAGUUACAAGUUCAGCCUUUCUCACAUAUGUAUUUGCUGUUGAUUCAAAUAAGGUAAAAAAACAAGGGUCUGAAGCGCUUCCAAUUUUGCAACAAUCUAGGAAAAAAAUUCCUUCUUGACCCCAAAAAAGCAGUCAGAUGUCUCAUUGGAUCAAGCAGCUAUUACCUCACAAAUUAGAAAUUAUAUCCCUGUAUGUUAUGUUUUUGCAGGUAUUUAUCCAAUUGCAGUUUAAACAUCUGUAUGGACUCUGAUAAAACCACCUCUUCAGGCAGAGAAUUCCAUAUCAUUAUUGCUCUUAAUGUAAAAAAAAACUUU